rnacentral:rRNA from 1 species
GACGAACGCUGGCGGCGUGCUUAACACAUGCAAGUCGAACGCUGAAGCUCAGCUUUUGUUGGGUGGAUGAGUGGCGAACGGGUGAGUAACACGUGAGUAACCUGCCCCCUUCUUUGGGAUAACGCCCGGAAACGGGUGCUAAUACUGGAUAUUCACUGGUCUUCGCAUGGGGGUUGGUGGAAAGGGUUUUUCUGGUGGGGGAUGGGCUCGCGGCCUAUCAGCUUGUUGGUGGGGUGAUGGCCUACCAAGGCUUUGACGGGUAGCCGGCCUGAGGGGGUGCCCGGUCACAUUGGGACUGUGAUACGGCCCAGACUCCUACGGGAGGCAGCAGUGGGGAAUAUUGCACAAUGGGCGCAAGCCUGAUGCAGCGACGCCGCGUGAGGGAUGGAGGCCUUCGGGUUGUGAACCUCUUUCGCUCAUGGUCAAGCCGCAACAAUGGUUGUGGUGAGGGUAGUGGGUAAAGAAGCGCCGGCUAACUACGUG